rnacentral:tRNA from 1 species
GCAGGUACAGCUCUAGGGUAGAGUGCGUGCUUAGCAUGCACGAGGUCCUGGGUUCAAUCCCCAGUACCUGAA